UCCUGCGCUCUCUCUUGUGGGCCCCCACGUAAGACGUGCCUGCUUCCUCUUCCGCCAAGAUCGUAAGUUUCCUGAGACCUCCCCAGCCAUGUGAAACUGAUGCAGCAACAAGGCGCCAUCUUGGAAGCAGAGAGCGAGGCCUUGCCGGACACUGAAUUUGCUAGCACCUAGAUCUUGGACUUCCUAGGUUCCAGAAAUGAACGACAAAUACAGUCCCCCUCUUUGUCUCCUCUCCACAUCAAUACCACAAUACUACAGUGAGAC